GGGAAGGUGGCAUGCCACCAACUCCUGAGAAGGGGACAGCCAGUGCACCAGGAUAUGAAGGCUAGCCAAGCCAGGACAGACCCUGAUACCCAGACAUAGUACAUUACAGGAGGGGAACAGCCCGUAGAACUGCCUGAAGUGGGGAACCCAGCGUUUAUGGGAUUAUUUAAGUAUUUGUCCAUUGUGGAAUGGCUUAAAUAGGAGAGCUUGAGGAAGCCCUACAUCAGAAUAUUGGAUAGCUCAGUGCACUCUCCUGAGAAGCACCUAAACAUUUGAGGCUGUGGCACUCAGCAUUGCAACCACAUUCUGAUUUGGAACUGGAACAGAAAACUCAGAAAGGGACUACUGAAAGACCCAGCGCAGC